AAGGAAGCGAUUGGGACCUUUUCGAUUCCAAGAAGUGCCGCCGGUUUGCCAUCGAUCCCUUUGCCUUCUCUCUCUCACCAGGUUUAGGCUUUGGUUUCUCGAUGUAUUUCCGGUUCAUCUUUUUGGAGAGGUCAGCAUCAGCUACUCGGAAUUGAUUUCGUUCAAAGAAGGUAGGUCCCUCGUGGACCCUUAUAUCUUUGUUCUUUCCUUUUCCUUGUGGCUGAGGAGUGUUCUUGUUUCCGAGCUCCACUUUCGAGUACUCGGUUUCUGUGAUGCUGGCUUAAUCGGUUCCAACCGACCCGUCUUGAAACACGGACCAAGGAGUCUAACAUAUGUGCGAGUAUGCGGGUUUUACUCCUGUAUGCGCAAUGAAAGUGAGAGUAGGGAGAUUUUGGCUUUGCCAUUCUUCGCACCUACGACCGACCACGAUCUCUGAGAGAGGUUUGAGUUGGAGCAUAUCUGUUAGGACCCGAAAGAUGGUGAACUAUGCCUGAGUAGAAUGAAGUCAGGGGAAACCCUGAUGGAGGUUCGUAGCGAUACUGACGUGCAAAUCGUUCGUCAAACUUGGGUAUAGGGGCGAAAGACUAAUCGAACCAUCUAGNAGCUGGA
rnacentral:rRNA from 1 species